UCUAUCUAAACUCGUAAAAUCGAAUCGAUAUUAAUUACGAUAUCUAAGAAUUCUAUAAAAAUUUUGGCAGAAUCUCCCCUAUAAAUAAAACAUUCCCAACCUGCAAUUUACAAAACAAUACUCCCAAAAUAAUUCAAUAUCCAUCCAUCCUCCAUAACCAACUUCUCAAGUCGACAUACCAAAUACUCCCAAAUCAUUCUGAUAUUAAAAUACAAUAGUUAUCCUUAAUUACGAAAUAGAAUAACUAAAUACAACUCGCAAUAUUCCAAAAAUCACAGUAUUAAAUCCACGACUCCUAGCACCAUCACGUGGCCACAAUUUCAAAAUUAACAUUCAAUACUGGGUCGACUGAUAUACCUGCAAAUCUCCUGUGGGGGGGGAAAAAUAUAAUAAAAGCGGAAUGAGUAUAAAACUCAGUGAACUCAGUGAGUGGAUAGUAACUUUGAAAAACCAAUUCUUUUCAAAUGAUUUAAUUUUUCUCAAAUCAAUUUCUCAAAUCAUCAAUUUCUCAAAUCAAUUUCAUCAUAAUAUCAUAAGUAGUUAAUUCAAAUCAGUCAUUGAAAUACUAUAUUACAUAAAUCUGCAUAAAAUCGAUGGAAACAUAAUACUUAUCAUAUCAAAUACUGAAUACCAAAACUAUCAUCAAACAAGUACCCAGGGAAAUAAUCUCGUCAUAUCCGGACCUCAACGGACGGGCAAUGACGUACUAUCUAGGUAACGUCACGCCCCGGAGCUACACAGAUAGACAGGGAAAUAUUAUCUCAUAUCUCAUCAUAACUGUGCAUGCAUAAUCUAGUCCCCAAAGGACAAAAGCGCCCAAGCACACAGCCCAAAGCCUCUGUGUGUACUCAGACGGGCCCCAAAGGCCUAUAUCUCAUCUGUAUCUCAACUGUCUGUAUCUCAUAUCUGUAUCAUUGUAUCUCUGUAUCUCAAUAACUGAUCUGUAUCCCAUAUCUGUAUCACUAUAUCUCAAUAACUGUCUGUAGCCCAUAUAUGUAUCACUGUAUCUCAAUAACUGUCUGUAGCCCACAUCUGUAUCACUGUAACUCAAUAUUUGUAUCACUGUAAUCAUCAUACCGCAUGCAUAUGCCCCAAAGGCAAAAGCGCCCAAACACACGGCCCAAAGCCUCUAUGUGUGUUCAGACGGGCCCCAAAGGCCUCUCAUCUCAUAUCAUUUAUAUCACUGUAACUGGAGGGGAAGGGUACUGUCUAAUAAUUUCAAAAACAAUCAUUGUACUCAUAUUCACAUACCUCUUUACCAUAUUUUAAAUCAUACCACAUUUGAAUCCACUUUUCUUAGCUUUCAAAUAAUCUCACUUUUUAUUCAAAAUCGAUACGCAAAAUCAUUAACCAAACAUUUUAAUAUAAUAUCAACACGUGAAUAAAAUCCAUUUCGAGGAAAUCACAUUAAAUCCAUUUCAAGAAAUCAUUAAAUCAGAACAUUUAAAAUACUUAUUCCGCAAACAUGCUUUACUAUCAUAAUUAACUCUAAAAAUAGGUUUCGUAUAUUCCACUCACAUUGACAAUGUCCAGACUCGGUGUCGACAACGUCCGCGGGUUGAUUCUUGUUUCGCGAAUCCUCCUAAUCAAGGAAACGACAUAAACAUUCUCCGUAAACUUGAAAUACAACGAAUCUUACGUAAUAAUUCUCGAAACGAAUAUCUAUCAAUAAUAAACUAUUCCCGCAUGCACAAAAUUACCGAAAUACCCCUACAUGCCAAAAUUGCCAAAAUGCCCCCAACAUCAUUAUUUUACCAAAUUAUCCUCAGAAUCUUCAAUUACUAAAUUGUCCUAAUUCAGAUCACGAAAUUAACCACAAUGUCAAAAAUUAUGAAAUUACCCUCGGAGCAUAAAUUUACCAAAAUGUCCUUAACAACUUAAAUUACUGAAUUACUCUCGAAAUCUCAAAUUACCUCAUUACCCCAACUUAAAAUUACCAAUUUAUCCACUGAUUCCACAAAUUACAAAUUCAUGCUCAAGUUUUAUGAAUUAACCGAAUUACCCUUGAAUUCAAUAUUACCAAAAUACCCUCAUAUCAAAAUUACCAAAUUCACCUCAAAAUCAUAAAUUACCAACUUUAUCCUCAAUUUCAGCAAUUACCAAAAUACCCACAAAAUCUGAAAUUACAAAAUUGCCCUUAGACUGUGAAAUUACCGAAAUACCCUUGCCGGUCAACGGUCACCGGAAUUCAUCCGACGGCGACGAGAAGCUCAGGUCUGAAAGUUCAAGUCACGCUAAGUCCAAUGGUGGCAGUGGUGACCUCCCACGCGCGGUGAUGACUCCGGAUCGAGCUCCCGAAGUCGUGAAUCCUCCAACGGUCGAUCAACGGCAAAACGACGUCCCCGGCGUCAGUGGUUAGUCGGAAAUGGCAGAGGGAAAGGUAAGGAACAAAACCCAAGUGAUGGCUUCACCGGAACUCGACGAAAUCACGGCAAAUCGAGCCGGCGAUUCCGCGGUACUUCAACGCUUCGUUCGGUGGUUUUCCGAUCGUUUUCCGGCGGCAAGGACGACAUGAAUACG
rnacentral:lncRNA from 1 species